AGUGAACGCUGGCGGUAGGCCUAACACAUGCCAGUCGAACGGCAGCACAGUAAGAGCUUGCUCUUACGGGUGGCGAGUGGCGGACGGGUGAGGAAUACAUCGGAAUCUACUUUUUCGUGGGGGGUAACGUAGGGAAACUUACGCUAAUACCGCAUACGACCUACGGGUGAAAGCAGGGGAUCUUCGCACCUUGCGCGAUUGAAUGAGCCGAUGUCGGAUUAGCUAGUUGGCGGGGUAAAGGCCCACCAAGGCGACGAUCCGUAGCUGGUCUGAGAGGAUGAUCAGCCACACUGGAACUGAGACACGGUCCAGACUCCUACGGGAGGCAGCAGUGGGGAAUAUUGGACAAUGGGCGCAAGCCUGAUCCAGCCAUACCGCGUGGGUGAAGAAGGCCUUCGGGUUGUAAAGCCCUUUUGUUGGGAAAGAAAAGCAGCAGGUUAAUACCCCGCUGUUCUGACGGUACCCAAAGAAUAAGCACCGGCUAACUUCGUG
rnacentral:rRNA from 1 species